UACCAGCUCUCCGAGUGGUAGGGAUGAUUAUUGGGCUUAAAGCGUCCGUAGCCAGCUUAGCAAGUCUCCUGUUAAAUUCAGCGACCUAAUCGUUGAGCCGCGGGAGAUACUACUAGGCUAGGAGGCGGGAGAGGUCGACGGUACUUCUGGGGUAGGGGUGAAAUCCUAUAAUCCCGGGAGGACCACCAGUGGCGAAGGCUGUCGACUAGAACGCGCUCGACGGUGAGGGACGAAAGCUGGGGGAGCGAACCGGAUUAGAUACCCGGGUAGUCCCAGCUGUAAACGAUGCGGGCUAGGUGUUGGGGUGGCUACGUGCCACUUCAGUGCCGCAGGGAAGCCAUUAAGCCCGCCGCCUGGGGGAGUACGGCCGCAAGGCUGAAACUUAAAGGAAUUGGCGGGGGAGCACCACAAGGCGUGAAGCUUGCGGUUC
rnacentral:rRNA from 1 species